CUUCCCAGCAGGGACUGCCUCCCUCACUGGCCUCAUGUGACCUGUUAAUCAAAUCCUGCACCAGCCCCAUGGAGUUUUCCCAUCACUCAUUGGGGAGGAAGCAGAUGCCCAGGAAACUGCUUAAAUAACCCGUGCAGCUCUGGGAAAGCCCCAGCCCUGGCUCCCAGCAGCAGCCCAGCUCCUCCUGCCCAGAAGCACCAACUGUUCUCUGAGACUGCAAAAAGGCAAUGUUUAAAGCCACACGGGGACUGUGGACGGUGACCUUCAACUCAAGCCUCCAGUGAGCCGCUCCCUGGGGUUACUCACCAUCCGCUUCCACCCCUGGGACUGUGGUUGUUUUAGUUAGAAGACCAGUCCCAGCCUGGAUGACCUGGCACGCUGGGAGACCUCAGGCAAGUUGCUUAACCUCUCUGACUCGGAAAUCUUUUUGGAAGAGAAAAAUGAGCAGAAUUUGGGAAGGAGUAAGGAAGCAGCAGGGUUCAGAGAAUGACCUAGGAAUCGAGAGCCUUUUAACAGCCUUGAAAGCUCUCCCUGGUAACUCUUCUGUCCCUUGCAGCCCAAUCUCUACCCCAAACAAAAAGUUCUAAUCCCGUCAUCCCCUAGCUUGAAACAGUUGACUGGCUCGCAGGGCCCACAAGAUAAAGUACAAGCCCCUAGUACAAUGGACAGAGCUCCUGAGCAGCACCCUCCUGCACCCUCCCUGACAUGGCCCUGCUAUUCCCUCCCCUGAGCCUUGGCACAUGCCUGGAUGCCUCCUGCUUCCUGACCUAACUCUGCCUUUUCCACUGCUUGGCUUGGACACUCCCCUGGGAAGCCUCCUCGGAGUCCCUCCACCUGCAUCAGGCACCGCCCACCCUUCAGCUGUUGCCCAUCCACCUCCCUCACCAGAUUAAGGGGCGCCACACCUUACUCAUCUUGGAAUCUCCAGUUCCUUGCCCAGUGCACAGCAUUCAGUAGGUGCUUAGUAAAUAUGUGUUGGGAGGAGAGGAAUGCAAGGACAGACAAAUGAAAACAAAUGAACAAAACCACAAGCUUUGGAAUCCUCCUCUGCAACACGGGAAUGCCGUGGGCAAACGAGGUGGACUGCCCCCCUUGGUGUGAAUCCUCACUCCCUACACAGUCGUGCACCUGCUGGCAGGUGCACUGGGUCACCUCCGGGCCUCUUUCCGCUUCGAUAAGGUGAGACGCUUAAUAGCACCUGCACCUCACAGACUUAUCGUGAGGACCAGGGGCCGAUCCUCCCCAGGUGUUUAGUUCAGCACCUGGCACUAAAGGUAAGUUCCUUGCACCCAUCUUCCCCUAGCUCCCAGGCUGCCUGCCCUGGCUCCUCCUCCUCCACCAGACUAUAAAUAUAAGAGCUCCCAGAGCUCACCUCCCUGUGGAGGGAUCUCUCCUCUGAAUUGUCUCUCUGGGUGGUCACACCUGUCCCCUUUAUAUGUUAAGGAUGCCCAAGUUUGCAUCUCCAGCCCAGAGGCCCUCACUACCCCCUUGGACUUCUUUGGGGUUUUUUGGCUUUUUUUUUUUCGUUUUUGAGAUGGAGUUUCACUCUCGUUGCCCACACUAUACUGCAAUGGCACAGUCUCAGCUCACUGCAACCUCCACCCUCCUGGGUUCGAGCAAUUCUCCUGCCUCAGCCCCUGAGUAGCUGGGAUUACAGGCGCCCGCCACCACACCUGGCUAAUUUUUGUAUUUUCAGUAGAGAUGGGGUUUCACCUUGUUGCCCAGGCUGGUCUCAAACUCCCAACCUCAAGUGAUCCUCCCGCCUUGGCCUCCCAAAGUGCUGGGAUUACAGGCGUGAGCCACUGUGCCCGGCCUACCCCCUUGGACUUCUAACCAGCCUUUCAAUGUGAACCUGCCCCAAACCUAACCCUUGGUUUCUCCAAAAGCCAUGCUCCUCACUCCCUCUUAACCGUCUCCUUUCAUGACACCACCACUCACUCAGAGACUCAAAAGAAGAAUCUAGAAGUCAUGCUCAGUUCUUCUCUUUCCCUCACCCCUGUGUACAAUCCACCAGAAAUUCCAGUUGAUUCCAGCUGAUAUAUAACCCAAACCCCAGACUUUUCUCCUAUUCCACUGCCAAAUGGGAACCUUUCCUUGCCUUUCCUCUGGUUCCCAGCUCCACCCCUCCACCCUGGCUCUCUACAGCCAGUUCUCCUCCCAGCAGACAUGGGAUCUUUUGCAAAGGUAAAUCAGUCCCUCCCUGCCCUUGACCCUGCAAAUGUUCGUAGUCUUGUUUGCUGGACCAUGGGUUAUUGGAGCGUAAAACUUCACCAUAUCUUUGUACCCAUCCAUCACCCCACAGCACUGAGUCAAGUGCUUCCACAUCAUAGGCACUUGGUAAAUUAUUUUUGAAUAAAUUAUUGGAAAAAGGUGAAUUUCUUAACAGAGUUUUUACUAGCUGGAAUCUUGGAACUAUAUUUCAUUAGUAAAGGUAUUUAUGGGAAGUGGAAAACAAACCUCCGAUGGUUUCCUUUUGCACCUAGAGUAACAGUCCUAACUAACAUGGCCUCUUCCACACCCUCCUAAACAGGCCAAGUUCAUCUGGCCUCAGGGCUUUUGCAUUUGCUGUAGCUCCUACCCGGAAUACUUUUCCCUCAGAUCCUUGCAGGGGGAGCUCCUGCUUGUCAUUCAGGUCUGGCUUAAAUGUCUCUCUUCAGAGAGGCCUCCCUGACCACCUGCAGCUAACGAAUCCUGUACCCCCACCCCCACAUACACCCUCUCUACCCCUCAUCCCCAGUUAUCACCAUCCACCAGUCUGUUUCCUUCACAGGACUUAAUGCAUAACAUGUGGUUACUUUAUAAAUUUGAUGUGUUUGAUUUUUGUCUCCUCCACCAUCAUAUAAGACUCACGAGGCUGGGCACCGUGGCUCACACCUGUAAUCCCAGCACUUUGGGAGGCUGAGGUGGGAGAAUCACUUGAGGUCAGGAGUUCGAGACCAGCCUGGCCAACAUAGUGAAACCCCAUCUCUACUAAAAAUACAAAACUUAGCCAGGUAUAGUGGCAGGCGCCUGUAAUCCCAUCUACUCAGGAGGCUGAGGCUGGAGAAUCGCUCGAACCCAGGAUGCAGAGGAUGCAGUGAGCCAAGAUCAUGCCAUCACACUCCAGCCGGGGUGACAGAGCAACACUCCAUCUCAAAAACAAAAACAAAAACAAAACCACCAGGGCAAGGUUAAUGUCAGCUUACUCACUGUUGUAACUGAAAAGGAUCAGAAUAUGCCAUCCCAGGGCCAGAAGUGGUGGUUCACACCUAUAGUCCCAGCACUUUGGGAGGCUGAGGCAGGAGAAUCAUUUGAGGUCAGGAGUUCAAGACCAGCCUGGCCAACAUGGUGAAACCCUGUCUCUACUAAAAAUACAAAAAUUAGCUGAGUGUGGUGGUGCGCACCUGUAAUCCCAUCUACUCAGGAGGCUGAGGCUGGAGAAUUGCUUGAACCCAGGAGGCAGAGGAUGCAGUGAGCCAAGACCAUUGCACUCCAGCCUGGGCAACAGAGCAAGAUGCUGUCUCAAAAAAAAAAAAAAAAAAAAAAAAAGAAUUAUUUUGAGCUCAAGGUACUUGAGCAGCAGCCAAUACAGGAAGAGCUCUUUGCCUCCCCUUUUCUGCCUAAAAGCAGGGCACACAUUUCCCUUUGUAAAGGUGACAUAAAUUUCCAUUUGCAAAGGUGUACCCCUCUACCUUACUUUAUCUGCAUAACAAACCUUACUAAACCACCCUUAUCUACCAUACAUUUCCUAGUCACUUUCCUGAAAUUUACUGACCCCUAAGAGUCCAAUACUUUUCUUUUGUCUCCUCACUUCUCCACAAUUUAUCGCCCUUUGUUAAAAUGUUACGUAAGCUCCUGGGUCUAACUGCCUCUUUGGAUUUUCAUUUCUUUUCUAUGGAGACCCCUUACAGUAAAAAAAUACAUAUAUAUAGUAACAUUAAAUAAAAUCUAUAUGCCUUUUCUCCUAUUAAUCUGUCUUUUGUCAGUUUAAUUCAUAGGCUCUAUCACAGAACCUAACAGGGUAGAAGAAAAGAUAUUCCUCCCCUACAUGACAAAAGCCAACAUUACUAAGCUUUGACCUGGGCCACGCAAUAUCAUGAGCAUCCUACCUGCCCUUUCUUGUCAAAUCUCCAUGCCUUAUGACACAGCUACUAGUGUUAUCCCUAUUCCACAGAUGAGAAAACAGAUAAGAGAAGGGUCAAGUGAGUUGCCCAAGGCCCAACAUAGAAAGAGCCCCAGCAGGGAGCAGGGUACCCCUCUACUCCCAGCGUCUACUCCCAGAACCCAACACAGCCUCUCCCUUUGUGGGCCCUAAAUAGAUACUUGCCAAAUGAGUAAAUGAAUCACUGAAUACAUGAAUGAUAUGCACCACAAUAUUGAGAGAGGCUGUCUUCAGGUGGCAAAAUGAUUUCCAUUUUCUUCUCUCUGUAUUUUCUCUGUGUUUUCUUCAGUGGUCAUGCGAUACAUGUAUAACUUAAAGUAAAACAAAUGCCUGUUUUAAAAGAAAUUCAAAGGUUGUGGGUAAUGUCUAGGUUCAGGAAUAUUUUUCUUCAAUUUCGGGAGACUGUUAUUUUCCUACUUAAUUUAACCAUUGUUUUUCUAGGGAAAUUGAAUAAAAAGCCCACAUUUCCAAAGCUCACUCCAAGUCUGCCCACUUCAAACAAUGAAGAGAGGGGAGUAAUGAGAGCUGGCUCCCGCCUUGUAUGCUAAUGGCCGGGAUUCUGGGAUGCAUACCAAUCAGCCAGCGACUAGAACCAGGACUUUUACAGAGAGGAGGGCACUCUGGGGCCAGGCUCUCAAGGAGAAAGAGGGGUUCCAAAACUCAGAAAUGCCACCUCAUCUUGGGCCCAACAUGCCAACAUGGGCUGGCACCAUCACAAACCACCUGCACUGCCCUGGACUGGGGAUGUAUCUGCAAGAAGGUGGUGUUGGGGCCUGGUCUGAGACCAUCCUCUCAACCAACAGGCCAGUGGGAAGAUGAACCCCAUGGCAGGGAGCUCAGUGCUGGCUCUAACCAAGAGGUGGGCAGACCCUGGGCCUGUGGCCAAGUGGUCAAUUAUCCUUCCCCAUUUUCCAUAGCAUAUGGGCACUGCUGCUAGGGGCUGUCAAAGGCACAGCCGGGCCAGGCCCUGGGAGGGUUGGCGCUGCUCAAGGAAAGACACAAGAGUGGAGAGGCAGGACUCCGGGGCGAGCAGAAUGUGGUGCUUCUAACUCUUGGUUGCUCAACCCUGGGCAAGUUCAAUGGAGGCAAAACAGAGAUAAUGAUGCACCCCACCUCUUGGAGUAGCUGAGAACUGAGAAAGCUCCCACGAGCCAUGCACUACCAAGGUGCCUGCCACUCUGCAAUUAUGAGCCAUUAGUAUUAGCUCUUUCCUGACACCAGGCCUAGGGAGCCCGUGUGGGUACCAGAAUUCUAUUCUCAUCCUUGCCCCUGAGCCACAAGGUAACAAACCCAGCUAUGACCAGACUGGGCCUUGCCAACACUGAAUUAAAAAAACAUACAUUAACUCCGAACUAAGAAAGGCAAAGUGUGCUGAGAUUCCAGGCAUGUGAUGAAUCUCUCCCUCCCCUCCUCAAAGGGAAAAGGAAAACCGCAUAAAGGAGGGGAGCACGGGACUGCAGAAAGAUCUCAGGGCCUGCCGGGUUCAAAUCCUGCCACUUACAAACACAGUGCCCUUGGAUAAGUCUCUGAGACUCAAUUUCCUCAUCGAUAAGAUCGGAAAAUAGGACGUACUUGCAGGAUCGGCAUGGAAAUUAAAUGAAUUGAUGCAUGAAAAAUAUCUGGCACCUAUAGGCAUAAAGUCAAAAUCAGUUGCCUUUAAGCAAACAAGUUCUCAAUUAUCUGCCUAAAUGAAGGACAGAAGCAGCUUUUCUGGUAUCAAUUAGCAAUGGGGGGAGAACAGGAGACCCCUCUUCCCAAUUAAGUUUUGUGCUUGAUAUUAACAUGGAUUUUUUUUGAGAAUCCACCAGCCACAGAUGCAGGGGCUGGAAGACCAGCAAGCUUCAGGGACAGCAGGAAACUACCAAGAAACCUCAAAGAUUUUUAGGGAAGCAGGGUGAUCCACACAGCACAAGGCCCCUGACAGAGCUCCUGUGAUUUGAGGGCAAUUUACAACCUCUAUCACCAAAGCAGGCCCUGCCCAGCAGCUGCCCCUCAGCAAUGAGGACACUAAGAUCAGUCCUGGAGCGCCAUCACACCAAAAUGCUGGAGUACAAUGGCACAACCUCGGCUCACUGCAACCUCCGCCUCCUGGGUUCCAGCAAUUCUCCUGCCUCAGACUCCCGAGUAGCUGGGAUUACAGGCAUGGGCCAC
rnacentral:lncRNA from 1 species